rnacentral:rRNA from 1 species
UACGGGGGGGGCAAGCGUUGUUCGGAAUUACUGGGCGUAAAGGGUUCGUAGGUGGCCAACUAAGUCAGACGUGAAAUCCCUCAGCUUAACUGGGGAACUGCGUCUGAGACUGGAUGGCUUGAGUGCAGGAGAGGAACGCGGAAUUCCAGGUGUAGCGGUGAAAUGCGUAGAUAUCUGGAGGAACACCGGCGGCGAAGGCGGCGUUCUGGACUGCAACUGACACUGAUGAACGAAAGCCAGGGGAGCAAACGGG